UACGAAGGGGGCUAGCGCUGUUCGGAAUUACUGGGCGUAAAGCGCGCGUAGGCGGACUGACAAGUCGGGGGUGAAAUCCCGAGGCUCAACCUCGGAACUGCCUUCGAUACUGUCAGUCUUGAGGUCGGUAGAGGUGAGUGGAACUCCGAGUGUAGAGGUGAAAUUCGUAGAUAUUCGGAAGAACACCAGUGGCGAAGGCGGCUCACUGGCCCGAUUCUGACGCUGAGGCGCGAAAGCGUGGGGAGCAAACAGG
rnacentral:rRNA from 1 species